ACUCUGCUGAAGUCAAAAAGGUUCCUGUGCACGCCCAGGCACCUGGAGCUCAUUCCAUGAUCACAGCUGGGACUGAUGUGUGUGAUCCCACACUGAGGCAAAGCUCCCAUCAUUGAUCUUCAGUGUGCAGGAUGAGGAUAUGAGUGAGAGAGCUGAGCUGUUGACAAUGCAAACUCUAAUGAACACCUCUACUGGAGAUAAAACUUGCCUCUGCUCACUUGGGAUGGCUGAAUCUGGGUUGUAGCCUUCCAGCUGGGAUUGCAAGGACUUGGGAGAUGACCAGAGUCAUCACAGCCACUGCAGUCAGUGGUUCAAGAGAAGACUGUUGUUAUUGGCUGCAUCUGAGAAACCCACCAAGUUGCCCUAUGAAGUUUUUACCUGACUAAUGUCUUUUUCUAAGAGCUGUAAGCUUGGAGCUGCUGGAGAAUCCCAAGUGAGAAAUAAAAACCUGGACCAAGUCUGUUGUGCUGAAGUGGCUGAUCUCUCACUGAGCACAGAGGAAGACCUAAUUCUGAAGGGAAAGAAUCUGAGGAAUACAAAAGACUGGAGGAAAAUUCUUUGCAGAAGCUUCCAGAAGAGGAUUUCUAUUUAGCAGGUCUGCCAGAGGUUCAGUGCUCCCUAAAAGCAAUGCUGACAACAGAUUGUUCUCCUGCAAUUUGCUUUGGGAAACAACUUUUAUGAUUAAAAGCAAAAGCUUUAA